UCAUGGCUCAAGGGGUGCUUCUCUGCAUGGGAAGAUUUGAUCUUUCUGUGUGGAUUUGCUGAGAUAAUACCCUCAAUAGCGGAUCAGGUUAAUGCCUGCGUCGCGAUGAUGCCAUGAUGCUUC
rnacentral:ncRNA from 1 species